ensembl:antisense Gm15592 predicted gene 15592
UGAGAUCUCUCAAACACUGGACCACCAAACAGGCAGCAUACACCAGCUGAUAUGAGGCCCCCAACACACAUACAGCAGAGGACUGUCAGAUCUGUGUUCAUUNNNNNNNNNNNNNNNNNNNNNNNNNNNNNNNNNNNNNNNNNNNNNNNNNNNNNNNNNNAUUCCCAAGGAAGAGGUGGAAAGAAGAGCACUACUGGCCACUGAUCAGACAUUCUCCCUUCAGAUUCCCAAGCAAGAGGUGGAAAGAAGAGCACUACCGGGUAGUUUUCGCAGCAGUGCAGGUGACUGUUGAUGAUUUGGAUGUAAAAUGUGCUAAAGACUCCUGUGUUUGAAUACUUGGUUUCAAGCUACUGUGCUGUUUAGGAAGGCUAUGGAAUCCUUUGGUUCUUGAGCAGGCCUUCAGGUUUACAGCCUGGCCCCACUUUUUCACUAUUUGCUUCCAAAGUGUGCUUGCAAUAUGACCUACCAACCUGCUACUUCUGCUAUCAUGCCUUCCCAGCCUCUGUGGAAUAUGUUCCCUCAAACAGAAAGCACAUAUAUAUCUCCUUUCCUUAACUUUUAGGUGCUUUAUCAUGGCAACAGGAAAAAUAAUAGAGUGACUAAUACUGCAUUCUUGUGCAGCAGGUCAGCACACAAUGAAGUAAUUACAUCAUUGUGAAAGCUUCCCUCGAUGAACACUGCCUGAGACAAAGGUACAGCAGGCAAGUAAGGAUCAUUACCACAUGAGUCACUGCCUGCCUCAUUAGAUCAUCUAGAUUGACAUCUAGAAUUCUUUUCAGUACUUAACUUCAACUCAUAUUCACUCUUUGUAGGUUGGGCUUCUGAAUCUGUUAAAAACUAAAUGUAUGGAGGUGUAAUAAAUGAUGUGAGGAUUAUAAAUAACAAACUAUUAUUUUACUUGUUAGAUGUGUGGAUUUUAGGACCCCUUGUCACAAAAACAACAAAAAAUGUUACUUGAGAUGACAUAGUUAUGUUAUUGAUUUUGUUAUAGUAAUCUCUUUACAAUACUUAUGAAUCAAAAUAUGCUGAUUAUAAAAAAUAUUCCCAAUAAAUUUUAUUUUAUGACAAUUCAUCAUAUAUAGCAUUUGUAUUUAUGCAUAUUUCCUUAUGUCUGAAGUACUAAAAUAUCAAUAGUAAUUCUAACUGUGGAUUUUAAAAAGUUUUAACUUAUUUUUCUGUGUAUGAAUGUUUUGCCUGCACACAUCUGUGUACUACACACAUGUUGUACUCACAGAGGCCAGAAAAGAGUACCAGGUUCCUGAGACUUCAGUUACAGAUGCUGUAAACCACCAUGUGGGGGCUGGGAAUUUGGCUAGGUUGUCUGGGAAAGCAACCAGUGCCCUUAACCACAUAGCUGCCUCGUCAGCUCCUCUUGGUUUUCAGAAGCGAUGAACUUUACAGGAAACUACCGUUGUACACAUGCACAUACACAUGUGUACAUGCUCAUAUGAAUACAUACAGCUUUUUUAUCCUAAAUUUAAACUCACAGUGACAAUUUCCAAACAAACAUACUUACCUCAACCAGAAAAACCAGCACGCACCAAAUCAGCACUAGCAGUAAGCCUUUAUGGAGAGUAAAAUAUCGUAGGUAUGUGUUCCAUGUUGUCACCGGGGGUAUCUUGAUCACAUCAUCAAGAAAACACUCCUGAGAAAAGAAGUGUGAUUCUGAGACAAUCCUACUCCAUGCUGCCACUGAGCUUUUAUUAU